rnacentral:rRNA from 1 species
UGAACGCUAGCGACAGGCCUAACACAUGCAAGUCAGGGGCAGCACAAGGAGCAAUCUGAGGUGGCGACCGGCGCACGGGUGAGUAACACGUAUGCAACCUGCCUGUAAGCGGGGAAUAACCCGUUGAAAGACGGACUAAUACCGCAUAAUACUAAAUUACUGCAUGGUAAUUUAUUUAAACAUUUAUGGCUUACAGAUGGGCAUGCGCAUGAUUAGCUAGUUGGAGAGGUAACGGCUCCCCAAGGCAACGAUCAUUAGGGGUUCUGAGAGGAAGGUCCCCCACACUGGUACUGAGACACGGACCAGACUCCUACGGGAGGCAGCAGUGAGGAAUAUUGGUCAAUGGACGAGAGUCUGAACCAGCCAAGUCGCGUGCAGGAAGAAUGUUCCCUAUGGAUUGUAAACUGCUUUUGCAGGGGAAUAAAGUGCAUCACGUGUGAUGUUUUGUAUGUACUCUGCGAAUAAGGAUCGGCUAACUCCGUGCCAGCCGCCGC